rnacentral:lncRNA from 1 species
AAAUUUUCUAGAUAAUACUGUAUUAUAUGUAUGAUUAGUUAUAAUGAAAACAUCUGAUCAACUCUAUAAAUGCUAGGAAUUUUAAUACUAAUUAUUUGGACUUAACCAUUUUGUGCUAAAUACAUAACGAAAAGGCUAAAAUACGCAUAUAUUUUUUAGGGGCAAUUGCCUAUAUACCCCUGAAAAGUUCCCGGUUUUCUUAUUUACCCCUCUUAGAAGGCUAAUAUUGAAAAUACCCUUCUUAUGUUCCAAGUCUUUCUAAUAUAGCCCUGUAGUUAAGUUCCGUCAGUGAGCUGCCGUUAUCUCUAAAAAAUUACCAUUUUGCCCAUUUCAAUAUACCCUUGUACCGUAACAACUUUUCUUAUAUAUCCUUCAUAUAGCAAAUACUUUUCUAAUUUGCCCUUCAAAUAUCAAUUAAUUAAUAAAGCACGUCGGGAGCGAGCAGAUGAACAGAUGAGAUCGAUCGCAGCUAAACCAACCUUGGUGGUUAGAGGUAUAGUUAGUUAAUUCAGAUUCGGUAAAAAUUCGGUACAGAUAUAAUUCGUCUUUUAAUCUUUUAAAUUAG